rnacentral:tRNA from 1 species
GCCUUCUUAGCUUAGUCGGUAGAGCAUCCGCCUAGCAAGCGGAAGUUCGCCGGUUCAAUCCCGGCAGAAGGCU